rnacentral:ncRNA from 1 species
AAAUAUGGAAACGAUGAUGUGCGAUCCUUUAUCUGGGCACCUGGGACGCAUGGAGUGAGUGGUGCAACCGGCCUCGU